CCCUUAGAUGUCCUGGGCCGCACGCGCGUUACACUGAUGCAUUCAACGAGCUUAUAACCUUGGCCGAGAGGCCUGGGCAAUCUUGUUAACGUGCAUCGUGAUAGGGGUAGAUUAUUGAAAUUAUUAAUCUUGAACGAGGAAUUCCUAGUAAACGCAGAUCAUCAAUCUGCAUUGAUUACGUCCCUGCCCUUUGUACACACCGCCCGUCGCACCUACCGAUUGGAUGGUCCGGUGAAGCCUCGGGAUUGUGGUUCUUGCCGCUUUAUUGUGGCGUGACCGCGAGAACUUGUCUAAACCUUAUCAUCUAGAGGAAGGUGAANUCGUAACA
rnacentral:rRNA from 1 species